rnacentral:rRNA from 1 species
UACGUAGGGCGCAAGCGUUAUCCGGAAUUAUUGGGCGUAAAGAGCUCGUAGGCGGUUUGUCGCGUCUGCCGUGAAAGUCCGGGGCUCAACCCCGGGUCUGCAGUCGAUACGGGCAGGCUAGAGUGCGGUAGGGGAGACUGGAAUUCCUGGUGUAGCGGUGAAAUGCGCAGAUAUCAGGAGGAACACCGGUGGCGAAGGCGGGUCUCUGGGCCGUAACUGACGCUGAGGCUCGAAAGCGUGGGGAGCAAACAGG